CCUGUAGUCGAAAAUGUUGUCUCUCUUGAGUGGAUCCUGAGUACGACGGAGCACGUGAAAUUCCGUCGGAAUCUGGGAGGACCAUCUCCUAAGGCUAAAUACUCUCUAGUGACCGAUAGUGAACCAGUACCGUGAGGGAAAGGUGAAAAGCACCCCGGAAGGGGAGUGAAAUAGAACCUGAAACCGUGUGCUUACAAGUAGUCAGAGCCCGUUAAUGGGUGAUGGCGUGCCUUUUGUAGAAUGAACCGGCGAGUUACGAUUUGAUGCAAGGUUAAGCAGUAAAUGUGGAGCCGUAGCGAAAGCGAGUCUGAAUAGGGCGUUUAGUAUUUGGUCGUAGACCCGAAACCAGGUGAUCUACCCUUGGUCAGGUUGAAGUUCAGGUAACACUGAAUGGAGGACCGAACCGACUUACGUUGAAAAGUGAGCGGAUGAACUGAGGGUAGCGGAGAAAUUCCAAUCGAACCUGGAGAUAGCUGGUUCUCUCCGAAAUAGCUUUAGGGCUAGCCUCAAGUGAUGAUUAUUGGAGGUAGAGCACUGUUUGGACGAGGGGCCCCUCUCGGGUUACCGAAUUCAGACAAACUCCGAAUGCCAAUUAAUUUAACUUGGGAGUCAGAACAUGGGUGAUAAGGUCCGUGUUCGAAAGGGAAACAGC
rnacentral:rRNA from 1 species